UUAAAAUCCUGCUUAGACAGCAACAGAAAGUCCAUGAACUACUUUUCCUUCACAUUUUGCUUCUCAAAAUCUGUUUCUGCUUCUGAGCGCGCAUGUGCCAACAGUUCUAUCAGCGAUUUUACCGCCGUGAUCACAGAGACAAAUCGAUAAGAUAUGUAAAUAAGCUGUAUGCAAACAUGGGUGGGUGUUGCUGGCAUCAGAAAGGAGAAAGAGUUUAUCAGAACGCCAGUGGCAUUAAUCUCAGCGUCACCACCUCAUCUCGCAUCUCCUGCUGCUCCUCCUCCACCUUCCACCCAAACUUCCCUCCAGUCAUCUGUUUUCCCACAGAAGAGAGAACACGUGGAGUUCGGAGAAAUAAACUUUUUAAUGAGGCAUUUGGCAUCCAUGCAUUUAGAGACCCACAAACACGUUAAAAUCGAAAUUAAAUAAACAGGAUAGAAGAUUUCUGCUAUCUGAUAAACAUAAAUUAAAUAAUCUGCGUUAUGUAAUACAGAAAGCAAAGUAUCUCACACACACCUACACACACACACACACACACACAGGAAUAAAUACAAUGGUAAUGGUUUGGAGAAAGUAAUCCGGACAGAUUUUGGUCACAGUGCCGAGAAGCUUCAGACUCAUGAACAACUACAACUUCAAGCCGUGGAGAGGUAGAUAUCACUCACCGCUCGCCUUUGAUGUGUCACAAACAGUCAAACAGUAAACACCGAUCAGGUCAGAGUGGCACAGCGGAUAAAGAGCCUGAUAUCAGCUGUUCUGUUUCUGCACAAUACACAAACUGCAAACAACUUUUAAGUGCAUGAGUCAGAAAGGCUUUACUAAAAAAAAAAAAAAAUCACAACGAAAAUAACACUCUGAUUUUUCAAAUCCUUUAGGGGAGGAUUUACACCAACUUGUCAGAUUCUUUCUGGUUUUCAAACCUAAUUUCAAGUCUUUGGGUAAAUUUGUAUCCUGAAGCUUUAUGUUUUUCUUCUGCACAAAAGUUAAAAACUGAAACUCCACAAACACAAAAUACAAGUAAUUUGUUUGGUGAAUGUUGUCAAAG